GUGCUAACUAAAAAUUAUAUCUGACAUAUAUCAAGAUUCAAAAAAAGAUACUGUCCCUCACAAAAUACCAUUAAAACAUUACAAUCUUUUUCAUAACAAGGCUAUUUUAAUGUCUUGACUCACAGGGGACUUAUAAUAAUAAAUCUUUUCGAUAAUCAGACUUGCAGGAAUUCCUGAGCCAAGGGCUCAACAAUCAAGAAAAGUAUAAUAAUGACAAUGGUAAAUGACAACAUGGGCUAGUGACAGGCAGAUGUUGGGACAAGGUGAGAGAGGCAUUAUCCAGCACCCUGCAUGGAUGCCCUGUGAUGAGCCUAUGGGAGGACUUGGAUAAGAGCUCCCAAGGUGAGUGGCAAGGAGAAACUGUGACCUGCGUCACUGGAGGGAAUUUCUGAAUCAAAGAGAUCAGGAACGUUUGAGAGACAAAUGAUGUUUAUAUAAGUACUUUGCAGAACUUAUCUUACUUAAGCCUCACAACAACCCUGUGAGGUAGGUACUAUCACUAUUAUCCCCAUUUUACAGAUGAGGAAACUGAAGUUCAAAGAGGUUCGUGUCCUGGCUCAGUCUCACAGCUAGACUAUAUCAGGGCUGUGAUUUCCACUGUUUUUCCUGACUCUACGGGCAGACCUCUCUACCCCCAUCAGCUUCCUAGGGAAUUUUGCAUCCUGAAGAUGCUACUGACUAGAAUCUGUGUGAAUUCAGUAUCUCUCAGUCUCAGUUUCUCAAACUGUAAAAUAAGGAGGGGUCUUUGUUGUCCCUUUCAACUCUAAAUCUAUGAGCCUGCAUGUCCAUCCACAGAACACCAUGGAAGCACUCCUGACUGCUUCCAUAUCCUCUACAGUCUGCCAUAUUUGUUACUUAGCUAAAAGAAGACGUCGCAGAUGGCAUUUCCUAUAUAUAAAUCUUUCUCCCUCCACCAAAAUUACAAACAACUCCAGAAUAAGGACGAUAGCUAUCUGAUACACUGUACAUGGUAGACUCUCAAUAACUACCUAUUAAUGAUGGUAACCUCUGAAUCAUUUUCUCCAUUUUUCUACUUCAUAAAAUUGGAGUAGGCCAAUGGUUUUGUUCACUGGAUUACUGCUGUCAUAUUCAA
rnacentral:lncRNA from 1 species